rnacentral:rRNA from 1 species
GAUGAACGCUAGCGGCAGGCCUAACACAUGCAAGUCAGGGGUAACAUAGAAAAGCUUGCUUUUCUGAUGACGACCGGCGCACGGGUGCGUAACGCGUAUACAACCUACCUUUUAGCGGGGAAUAGCCCAGGGAAACUUGGAUUAAUGCCUCAUAGUAUAUAAGCUUCUCCUGAAGUUUAUAUUAAACAUUUAUGGCUAUUAGAUGGGUAUGCGUCCUAUUAGUUAGUUGGUAAGGUAACGGCUUACCAAGGCAGCGAUAGGUAGGGGUCCUGAGAGGGAGAUCCCCACACUGGUACUGAGACACGGACCAGACUCCUACGGGAGGCAGCAGUGAGGAAUAUUGGACAAUGGGCGAGAGCCUGAUCCAGCCAUGCCGCGUGCAGGAAGACUGCCCUAUGGGUUGUAAACUGCUUUUACAGAGGAAGAACCACCCCACGUGUGGGGGUUUGACGGUACUCUGCGAAUAAGGAUCGGCUAACUCCGUG